CAACCUCUGCCCAAGUCAACUAUGGGUCUGACUGGCCGCAUUUUCAGUUUCUUUAUUUUCAGACCUGGCUCUCUCUUGUUGUAAGGCUGGUAGCAGUCAUAGUGAUCGUGGGGUUUAGCACUUUAAGAGUCACCAUUUUAAAACGCCGAAAUAUUUUUCUUUAAGGGUAAACCUGUUUCUCAAGUGAACUCCUGGAGGAAGCCUGUUCUGUGCAUAUUCAGAAGUGGUCUACAAGGAGGAGGGCUGAGAAGCUCGCCCAGGUCCUCAGAGAGACCACUCCUCUUCACCUACCGGAAAUCUGUCUCCCUCCUUUUCAGGUGGCCAAGAUGACGUACAAAGAAGACCGUUAAAGAUUAUUGGAGAAAGAGAUCUCUGGCUUUACCGUUUUGGGUCUUAGGAGAAAAAGGUACAGUGUUAGCUCUGCUUGUGUCUGUGAAGGGUGGGGUUCAUGUUAUGACACAGAAAAUCAGAAAGGACUUUCAUAAUUUCUUGAUAGUCACAGGAACAGUAAUAUAAAGAAGAGAAUUACGUAUCUUUUUAUUCAUCUCAAGAGAAGAAAAUUUCCAGUGAGGAGACUAAGACAUUUAAUGCUGAAAGGGCAUCUCAUCUGAGGCUUCUAGGGCACCAGUAAAGGUUUCAACCCGUGUGUCUGUAAAAAAUUGCCAGAAACUGUCACAAAAUGGAAAAUGAGAGCCUGCAUUACGAUGGUUCUGCUAGGGUUCUAUAAGGUAUGUGCUGAAAAAGUUUGUUUUGUGCUUAAGGCUUGUUAAUAGUAUCUUAGGAUGAUGGGGUUAUCGGUGACUUUAUUAUUUUUGGACAUUUAACUGUAUUUUCAUACCCCCUCCCCAAAUUGCAAAGAAGUUUUUUUUUUUUUUCUUAAUAAUGGUCUGUUAAUUAACUUCUGAAAAUACAGUACUGGAAGCUUUAGUCCCAAGAAGUACAAUGGUACCAAGAGUGGAUUUUCUGUUUUUUCACCUCUUUUCCUCAAUAGACACAGUGACACCAAAACUCAUCUCAUUAGAAGAGAUUUUUUGUAGAAACGAGAAAGGACAUUUCUAAACCAAGUGCGUUUCUUCUGAAUAAGAUUUAACCCAAAAUGAGGUUGGGGACUGAAAGAAGUAGACAAUUCUCUCCGGUUGAUCUACAGUGAUUGGGGGUCAGAGUCAUGGACAAUAGACAAUAUCUGGUUUAGUCUGGCUCCAGAAAUGUUAAACUGUGCCUCAGCCUCUUAACGAGUCACUUGAAGGGUAAGCGACAGUCAGCCCUCCGUGGCAAUAAUGUCGUUGUUGGAAGCACUUGAGAAAACCUGCUGUAAUUUUUUUACACACACACCCUCCCAUCCCAAAGCAAGUUUAUCUUUGUUUUUAAACCAUAAACCACAGUCUGUAUUUCUUUUCCAUGCCACAUUGAAAGGAAAUAAAAACCAAGCGCAGUACGUAUCACUUAAACACAUUAACAAUUAGGCAACAGUCCAUUUCCCCCUUGAACUUUCCAUGCUUGUUUUCCUGUCUUAAAAAAACACUUAAAAGCCAUCAAAGUGAGGGGUAGGGGGCAUGUUGAGCAUGGAAAGUCUUGGCUCUACCACGGAUGUCCACACAAUUUCUUGGAACAAGGCUUCCAGUAGAUAACCCGGUGAGAUGGAGGAAUUUCUUUCCACUCAGAUACUGUCAGGGCCAAUGUGCCUUUCAGGAGACUGUGAGAUUCUGAGCAUUGAAACUGUAAAAAAAAUUGAGCUGGACAGAUCCUUGCCACAACGGUUUCUGCUAAAUAUAGAUAAGUCGUCGUCGCGUUGCACAAGCAAUUUCCAGCUACGGCUCCUCAGGAGGAGACGCGGGUCCCGGAGCUCAUGUCUCUGGUAGUUAAACUGCACAGAGAGAUGCGGACCUUGACCUGGGGGUUGUGGGGAGCCAGGGAAGGAGGCAGCAUGGAAACAGGAGAAAGGAGCCUUAGUUUUGGUUAAAUAGAUAAUGACACACUAGGGGAUACAUAGCAAAUGAGGGUACUGGCUUAAAAUCUCAUUAAGCCUCAAUAACUUGGAAGAAAAGAGAUGCAGAAGGAGCGCUCCCCCCCCCCCACCCCGAGUCUGUGUUCAAGUUCCUCCUGUCCCACUGCCUUGGAAACAAUGUGGUAACGGGGGGGAUGAGACCACGAGAUAUGGUGUUGACAGUCCUGAGUUUGCACCCCAGCUUAAUCUGACCCUGUGUGUGAUUUGGGGUUAAUUACUUAACUUCUCUGAGCCUCAGGGUCCUAGUACACAAAAUCUAGGUAGAACAGUAUCCCUCACAGUGUUAUUAGGAUUGACAUUUGGAUUAAAGUACAUGGCACUACUAAGAAUGCAACUUCUGCUGGCGCCCGUCGCCUCCUCCCCUUGGAGGCAAGUCGUUGAAGCUUCCCUGGACCCCAUUUGCCUCUCUCUUACCAAAUCCCAUUGGUUGUACCUCCAAAGCAUAUCCGGAGUUUGUCCCCUUCUCUCAAUUCCCAUUGCUACCAUGUCAGUACAAGCCAGUGGCCUCUCUUGCCUACGUCAUUGCAACAACCUCCUGGCUACUUCCUCUCCUUCUGUUUCUAAAUCCCGUGCGAUCCAUCUCUGCACAGCAGGCAGAGAGAAAAGCAUACUAAGUCAUGCCAUCCUCCUCCCCGAAACCCUGCAAUGGUUUCUUACUGAGAAUAAAAUCCAAACCUCGUCAUAGCUUUCAUGGCUCCGUGCGAUCUGGCCCCUGCACACCUCUUUCCUCCUCGACUUCACUGACUAUCACUUUCUUCUUCUAUUAAUAUUUUCCAGCUGUACUGGCCUAAUUUAACUUCCCAGAACACAUCAAGUUUAUUUCUACUGCAGGGCCUUUGCAUUUGCUGUUUCCGUAGCUUGGAAGAAGUUGCUUCCAGAUUCUGUUGUGGUUGAAGCCUUCUCAACAGUUAGGUCCAACGUUCCCUCCUAAAAUUUGUCUUCCCUGACUGAGUCUCUAUCACAGCCCCUCUUCAGGUUUUUUCUUUUUCAUAGCACUUAUCCUUACAUGCAAUGAUUUAAAAUUUUGCCUCUCUGAUUCCCCUAUGGGGAUGUAAACUUCAUGAAAGAAGGGGGCUACAGUUUCACCUCUAUAUUAGCCCCAAACACUUGGACAGCAUUUGGUGAAUGAAUUCUGAAUGAAUAUGUAAAAAUGGGAUAAUAUUUGCCUGAAAGUUUGUGACCAGAUUUGACAGUCUUCCUGUGUCUUUCCGUUUCUAAAGAUUCUGUCAUUUCCUAACCAGGAAAGCCUGAACCCCAGAAUAAUUUUAAAGACAUGCAGUUAGGAAAUUUUCAAAUAUUCAACAUAAAAUAAUUCUUAUUAGGAUUCCCAAGGCACUUUGGGUAUCUGCUUUCAUGAAAAAACUAAGAAGGACUUAGAAUCUGCAUGUCAAGUAUCUGUAUAUAAAGAGAUUCUUUUAA